GCGCGGGUGGUGGAAUUGGUAGACACGCAGGUCUCAGAAGCCUGUGGCCGCAAGGCUGUGGGGGUUCAAGUCCCCCCUCGCGCACCA
rnacentral:tRNA from 1 species